rnacentral:rRNA from 1 species
UACGGAGGGGGCAAGCGUUGUUCGGAAUUAUUGGGCGUAAAGGGUGCGUAGGCGGGUUUUUAAGUCAGAGGUGAAAUCCUGGAGCUCAACUCCAGAACUGCCUUUGAUACUGAGAAUCUUGAGUACGGGAGAGGUGAGUGGAACUGCGAGUGUAGAGGUGAAAUUCGUAGAUAUUCGCAAGAACACCAGUGGCGAAGGCGGCAUCCUGGACCAAUAUUGACGCUGAGGAGCGAAAGCCAGGGGAGCAAACGGG